rnacentral:rRNA from 1 species
AUUGAACGCUGGCGGCAGGCCUAACACAUGCAAGUCGAGCGCGCGGCGGACGGGUGAGUAAUGUAUGGGGACUGCCCGCUAGAGGGGGAUACCUACUCGAAACGGUAGCUAAUACCGCAUACUAUCGGAUUACCCCUAUGGGGUGAUCUCGUAGGUGGGGUAAUGGCUCACCUAGUCGACGAUACCUAGCUGGUCUGAGAGGUGGAUCAGCCACACUGGGACUGAGACCCGGCCCAGACUCCUACGGAGGCAGCAGUGGGGAAUAUUGCACAAUGGGCGCAAGCCUGAUGCAGCCAUGCCGCGUGUAUGAAGAAGGCCUUAGGGUUGGAAAGUACUUUCAGUCGGGAGGCGUUACCGACAGAAGAAGCACCGGCUAACUCCGUGCCAGCAGCCGCGGUAAUUC